rnacentral:lncRNA from 9 species
GGCCACCCUGUCUGGGAGGAGCCUCGAGUCACCUCUUCAUCGGCGGUGGUCGGCGGUGGUCGGCAGCGGUACCCCCAAGAAGGCGGCGGGAAUGGCCGUCGAGGAAACGGACACGUCCGGAGAGCACAAUCCAAUGGAAAUGUAACAGAGCUGUACACUUUAAAAUCGUCCAGUAGUGACUGUAGACCUGAAACAAAUUGACAGCCAGAUGUUUCCAGAAAAGAUAGGUUUACCAGGGAUCAGUCAGCCACCAUGCAGAACCACGUGCAAGUCCACGCAGGGUAAGAGGAGAACCCUUUUAUAGCGGGGGGGGGGGGGGGGAGGAGGAGUUGGGGUUACA